UGGGCCGGCCUGCCUUGGGCCAGGGGGAAGCCAGGGAAGCUGGGCUGGCCGAAAGCCACCAGGUAAGUCUUCUCUUUUUUUCGUUUUUUUUUCCUUUUCCAAAACCUUUUCCAAAAGGGAUUUUAAAUCAUUCUCAAAGAUUAAACAAAACACACAGUACAAAAUUAAAUAUGCUUUAGCAUGAAUGCAUAAACAUGUUGCUAAAACCUAU
rnacentral:lncRNA from 1 species